CCCUUAGAUGUUCUGGGCCGCACGCGCGCUACGCUGAUGCAUUCAACGAGUCUAAAACCUGCUCUGAUAGGGGUGGGUAAUCUUUUGAAUGUGCAUCGUGAUUGGGAUAGAUGAUUGCAAUUUUUCAUCUUCAACGAGGAAUGCCUAGUAAACGCAAGUCAUCAGCUUGCAUUGAUUACGUCCCCGCCCUUUGUACACACCGCCCGUCGCUCCUACCGAUUGAAUGAUCCGAUGAAUAUCAUGGAUUGAGGAUGCAAGUAGGUUCGCCUAUCUUCAUCUUCGAGAAGUGAAGUAAAUCUUAUCAUUUAGAGGAAGGAGAAGUCGUAACA
rnacentral:rRNA from 1 species